rnacentral:lncRNA from 1 species
AUGGGUCAAAGGUCAAGGUUAGAGUUCUGUCCAUUAGAGAGGCAGGGGGCGGCCAGGGGAGGGGAUGGGGAAUUCAGAGGGAGCCUGCUGUUUGGUGAUGAGGCUCUUCUCCAGCGGGCGUGCAGCCUCUGGGGGAGGGCAGAGAAGCUAGAGGUACCAACCGCCUCCAGCAAGCCGUCCCGCCACCCCCCUGCUUGGCCAGGCCCUGGCCAGGCAGGGGCUGCAGGGAGCCGGGCCUCCCCUCCCGAGUCUGUUCCUCGCCUGCCAGCUUCGCUAGGUACCCAGGGAAGCCUGUUCUGUUUCUCAUUCAGAGCCAGAGGGAGGUCCCUUUACUCCCACUUUACAGAAGCGGGUAGUCAAGGCUUGGAGAAGCACUUGAGCUCUUUCCAGAUACCAGCACCCUCCCCUAGCACACAAAGAGAAGAGCCUUUGGCCUGUUACUCAGAGUGUACGUGGGGUCACGUGUCCAGUGGGGAAGGUAGCCUCUUGAGAAAGGGGAGCAGGGAGAUGGGCUGUGAGCCUCAGGACACACUAGUGACAGAGGGGACCAUCCACACUGGGUACCUUGGCCUCUUAGAAUGAAAGUGGCGCUGCUUGGGGUGGGGAGAAUUGUUUUUUUUUUUUUAAAGAUUUAUUUAUUUGACCGAGAGAGAUCACAAGUAGACAGAGAG